rnacentral:rRNA from 1 species
GACGGGGACCCGCACAAGUAGCGGAGCAUGUGGUUUAAUUCGAAGCAACGCGAAGAACCUUACCUAAGCUUGACAUCCCAAUGACAUCUCCUUAAUCGGAGAGUUCCCUUCGGGGACAUGGGUGACAGGUGGUGCAUGGUUGUCGUCAGCUCGUGUCGUGAGAUGUUGGGUUAAGUCCCGCAACGAGCGCAACCCUUGUCUUUAGUUGCCAUCAUUAAGUUGGGCACUCUAGAGAGACUGCCAGGGAUAACCUGGAGGAAGGUGGGGAUGACGUCAAAUCAUCAUGCC